AUUUUAAUAAUGAAACUUUAUGUCUUAUUACAAUUGGAUUUUUAUUUUUAUUUAAAUAUUAAUUCAUUAUUAUUAUAAAUAUUAUCAUGAAUUCUAAUAAUAUUAAUAUUGAAGAUGAAGACGUUAUCAUAAAGAAUUCACCUCUAUAUAAACAUUUAUACGAAUUAGGUUAUACCGAUUUUGAAAGUGUAACAAUAGAAAAAUUAACAUUAAAAAAAUGAAAAAAAAAAGUUUCAAACUAUUUGAUUUUAUAUUCAAUGUAAAAAAUAUUUUUAAAAAGUUA